rnacentral:tRNA from 1 species
GGCUCGGUAGCUAAGUCGGUAAAGCACUCUUGUAGCAUAUAAGGGUCGUGAGUUAAAAUCUCACUUGAGCUG